GUAAAAAGAAAGCCCAAAAUGUUGGUUUUGUUUAUUGUAGUGAUGAAAUGGAAGAGGAUGUUAUAACUAAGAAAAAGUACAGUAAUAAACAAAACAUGACAGCAUCUACAAUUGAGAAUACUUGUGUCGAUCAAUUAGUUAAAUACCCCAGUAUUGAACACUGCCAUGGUGAUAGAUUACAACUAAGAGGU